GAGUGAUAUGAUGGCAUACCAUCUUUCGGGACUGACUCUUCUAUGGAGAUUUUCUUGUAUUUUACUGAUCACUU